CUUGUAAAUCUGCUUGUAGUAUCACUUCUAGAAACAACCAAUUGGAAAAGAAACACUUUUUUUCCAAAAGCCCAUCUCUUCAUUCUACAAAACCCAGAUAUAAAACAUUCACUAGUCACUGUAUCAAUGGUCACUCAUUCCCCUCUUUCACAGCAACAUCCCUCCUUGUAGUUAUCCGUGUCUGUUGAAACUCCAUCUUUUUGGCAACCUUGCUUUCUCUUCGAGGUUAGCCUGGGUCCCCCUUUGAUCUGCAUAUAUCUUUAUUAUAUAGCAUUUUCUUUCUCUUGCAAUAUUUGUGGGAAGUUUUCCUUCAAGUCCCAACUAUUAUGGCAUCCCACAUUUUUCUCUUCUUUUUUCCUUCUAUUUUCUUUGUUGAUAACUAGUAUAUUGCAGACUUGUACACGAGGAGCAGCUCCUCCAUUUGGGCUAUAGAUGUUAAAGGCAGCAGAGUGAAACAGGAUUCCCCCGUUGUCCUCAAGGAACGAAAUCAUCCUUCGGGCCUUCUGAUUCUCAAAUGUGAUGUUUUGGUUCUUUGCUGUCUGGAUGAUAUAUGCAGACCCUUGAGUGAAAUAACCUUGUUUGGAUCUGGAAUACCACAGUGCUGCUGCUCCUAAUAGGUUGGUUCGAUGAUUUUAUGUGACAAACUUAAAGAUUUCAAGAUCAGGUGUCUUCAACAGGCUUCAUGAAAUAGCAGAGAAUCAGUCGCAAGGCUGAUGGAUAAGCACUACUGCAGCUGAACCAUUCAUUUGCAACAUUAUAUCCCAGAAGGCAUUGUAACAGGUGGUGGGGUCCGCUGAUCUGAGAAUAUGAACUUUGAUUGGUCCCCUAUGUUGAACAAUUGAAGGGUGCGGUGCUGACUUUUUUCUAUGCUUGUUGGUUAGUAGUUGUGGAAAUGUUGUAAGCAGCACUGAGUAGUGUACAUGUGUGUCAUGUUAUCUAGCAAUGGGGAGAUGCUAAUCUCACAUUGUAUAAGAAAUGUGCCCACUUGUGCUUUGAAUGGUUGAGAUGAACAUGGGGUUCGUGUUUCUUUACUCUGUUGAUGGCCCAUGUGACCAAUCCAAGCUUGUCCGCGCCUUUAUUCUUACAAGUGUGAGAUCAGCAGGCUUCUACUAAUCACACGCUUUCAUCCUCAAGCUCAAUUAUGUUUGUAUAUAAUGGUCAAUUGAAA